rnacentral:lncRNA from 1 species
UUUUUUGUGGUGACGUUUUGAAUGGAACUGGUCCAAACGACUCAUAGUCCAAAAAAUCAGUGUUCUUAAGCUAUAUUGCGUGAGUUAUAAUUUUUAAUCCGACCAUUGGAUCGUUGUGAUUUUUGGAUAUGUUAUACAUAUAUAAGUUGAGUAUAUGUCCACAAAUUUUGAACCGUUCAAAAUUAACGUAUGAUUUUUUAUGAAUUUUAAG